rnacentral:lncRNA from 1 species
AUGAACAGAAGGAGCCCCACUUCACCCGUUCGUGCCGAAUACCGUGAUAACAGAGAAAGUGGAGGUGGGGAAUUGGUUGCUAGCUUUCUUCUGGGUGGUGCUAUUUUUGGAACCCUGGCUUUUGUUUUUGCUCCCCAGAUCCGAAGAACUGUGCUAAAUGAAGAUGAACAUGGGUUUUGGAGGGCCAGAAGACCAAUAUAUUAUGACGAUAGGGAACUCGAAGCCAAGGAAAUUUAG